GAUAUAUUGAUCUGUAUGAGGACACUAUGAAGAAGUUAAAUAGUGUAGCUGUUGAUGUUAUAUAUUGUACAAACUCAGUUCCACAAAUUGGUGAGUUUACUUAACUGUGUAAAUCGAUUGCAUUUGUAUUUUAUUUAUGUUUACCUGUAUAACUUGACUAUGACAAAUAUUUCAUUGUCACUUUGGAAAUAUUACACUGGGAUUAUCUUCCCUGAUUAUGAACAUUCAAGCUAGAUUCACAUGAAGUUAAAUAUUUAUAUUUGUAUUGAUGAUAAAUGAUUAUUCAUUUAUAUUAUAUUAUAAAGACAUUAUAUACGAAGCUCAAAUUAUCUGUAAUGAUAAUUUGCAUGAAGUUAUUGUUUAUUGUUUGUAAAUUUACAUUUUGAUAUUUUCAAACCGUAUACCGUUUGUAUAGAAUUUAUGAUGUUUGUAUGUAUUCAGUCGGAUCGAUUGAAGAGAAACGGUUAAGAGUUCAAAGGUUAAAAUAUAGGAUGUUUUAACUAUAUAAGAACAUGUGAACUGAAAUGAUAAUGAGAGAUGUAAUAGACUAGUAUUUUAAGCUAUUGAAUUGUAUCGUUUAUUUUUUAUUAUCUUUACCAUUGUUUAAUUGUUAUUCCAGGGUUAGUGUAUGUAAUUGUAAGAUGAAUGCAUGUGAUGUACAAUUGAUGAAUAAAGAACCCUAUGACUCAGAUGACUUAGUUAUAUUUGAUGAAGCAGAAAAUUAGACUUUUACAAUGGCGCCCACGUUAAUGGUUUAUUCCAAGGAUGGAUCUUCACAGUGGAAGCUGGAAUGACUUAAAUUUUGUAUUGAAUAUUACUUGCUGAUAUUUUAUGAAUUGAUUUAUAAAUAUAAAUUGACUUUAGAUAUUCAGUUUGUGAAUAUUGAAUAUGGCCUGAAAGUAUGUUAGUACAUUUGUAUAUCUG
rnacentral:lncRNA from 1 species